rnacentral:rRNA from 1 species
UACGUAGGGGGGCGAGCGUUGUCCGGAUUUAUUGGGCGUAAAAGGCUUGUAGGUGGCCACGUCAAGUCGGCUGUGAAAUCUCCCGGCUCAACUGGGAGGGGUCAGUCGAUACUGGCGGGCUCGAGGCCGGUAGGGGGGAAGCGGAAUUCCCCGGUGUAGUGGUGGAAUGCGUAGUAUCGGGAGGAACACCAGUGGCGAAGGCGG